CUUCAUGCUGACUGUCAUUUAUUUCUAUUAAAUAUGAUGCUUAAAUGAUAAAAAAGGAAGGCGUAUCAUUUCUCUCAUGUAUACCAUUUCCUGUCUCAGGAAGCAUCCAAAGAAAAGAAGUAUUCAUAUUUUCCAGAUAAAUAGAUUCUUUUCUCUUUUUUUUCAAGAAACAAACUAACAAAAAAUUCAUAGAAACUCAUUUGACAGAGCAAGAAAGCUGUGAUAUCUCUAUCCAGUGCAGCCAAGAGAAAUUUAGAUAGAGAUAGAUGCUGACCUAACCAGCCGGAACAUUCCGCACAGCCUUGAUGACAUACCUGCCUUUUAUCAUGACAGCAAACAGCAGUUUCUCGAGGCUAGGCUCUCCUGGGGCCGGGCACAAAUCAGCCUUGACGUGAUCAGCCCAUGAUCUUUCUAGAAGUACAGUGCUGACAUCCUCACAAGAGCGUCCACUAGCUUGCAGAGGAGAAUAGUUUUUGAAUGUUGCUUCUGGGCAUGCUGUAGGCCAUGGACAGGUAAAGCAGAGGGCCGGAUGACACUCUGGAGUCCUUCUGGCAGAUGUCACAGAGACAGUGUGAUGGCUAGAGAUGCACAGAAGAAACACAUGAGCUGUGAAACAACACCAUGUUCAAGUGUACAGCCGAGGAGCGUAAACAUGCCAGAUGAUUAUUUUUGCUCCUUUAGGGUUUGUCUGUGGCUGUAAUGCAACAGUACUGUCUGUAUUUGUAUUUGUGUAACUGCUCCAAAAAUUCAUAUCUGUAUCUGCAUUUAGAUUUUAACCAGAAGUGGGCGUGGCCUGACUUGAAACGCUAUCAGAAUGGUGUCUCUUGGUGUGUCGUCUCACUCAGAUUUCAGAGUCUUCGCUCGAGUUCAGAACCUGAGAUGUGCACAGGACUGUUUUUAAUCCUUCUCACUGUUCUAUUUUGGUUUGUAGCUCCCCAAAAUAUUUUUUAACAAAUUUAGUUUCCCAAAAUAAAAACAAACUGGUAGCCGAAUUUAAACCACCAUGACCAUGACCAGGCAGAUACUACUCUACAAAUAAUAAAAAUAUCUACAUAGUAUUUAUAUCUAUAUAUUUCCUCUUAUUAUCAUAAAAUAAACCAAAUCUUUAUAAUAAUAUUAAACAUUAUAUUUAGCUUAAUAGAAUCUAAAACAUGCUGCCUAACCUUAUAUUUGUUUUGUAAUAACAUCAAAAAAGUGAAAAAUACUAUAAAUCUGCCUAUAUUGAAGAUAUUUUCACUUCCUAACGUAUUUUUUUGCAGUGUAAGGACCUCUGUGGUCUUUGUUUGAGCCUGAUACAUGACCUCUAGCUGUAUGCUUAUUCAACCGUCCAUCUGUGGUUUCAACCAUGUGAAACUUUCUGAGGAAAAAAAAAUAAUAGAUCAUCUUCUAUUUAUAUUCGUAUCUGUUUAGAACAUAUCUAUUUCAAUUUGAAUAACGUAUUUUUUCUGUAUCCCUAAACUAUAUCGUAAGUUCCUCCUAAUAAUGAAUGAGAUCCAAAUCGUUGCAUGCUGUAGGUGUAAGUGAUAACACAAUCUAACUGACUACAUUUUAUCUAAAAGAAGAAGAAGAAGAAGAAAAACCGCCUCAGUCCACACCAGUUUUUUUUUUUUUUAAAUGAGAUACGUACCCUUCUUCACUUUUAAAGGACAUUGCACUUGUCUAAAUGAAUGCUUCCUGCUCAUGCAGGAAGUAAAAUACAGCAAUUAGCAUGCUGCCUCUCCACAUGUCUCUUAGCUAAAGAUAAGACGUGCUGGCAGCACAGCAGGCCUCUAAUUCCCUCAUUCACUUGUCUCUGGUCUCACUGAUUAUGGAUCUAUCCUGUAACUUAACCUGCAUCUUUCUCCCAGCAAGACAGCCGUCCAAUGAACAGCCCUUCCUCCACACAUCUCUUCUUCCUUUCUUUCUUCCUAAACAACUUCCUUUCAGCUGCUCGUCUUUGAAUGUGGCUACGCUUCACAUCUGGCAAAAACAAUCCCGAGCGGCUUAAACAAGAACAACAAGAAGCAGCACGAUGCUCUUGAAAUGAUAUGAAGCUAUGAGCGUAGACGGUCACGAAUAUCUGCUAGAGAGACAUGGCUGGAGCUUGAAGGAGGAGGCUGAGGUGGAAAUCAUAGCAUGGCCCAAGGCGAGCAACACCACAACACACGGAAACAUUUUGCCCCCUGAUCUCUGCACUCUCAGAAAGAGUGGUGGGACGCUCCAGGGCAAGGACGGCUCAGCAGGAGGAAAAGGUUCAAAAAGAGAAGCGAAGAAAAAAAAUACAAACCAAACAUUGUGUUCCUAAUCAGGAAGUCUCUCUGAAGAAAUGUUCACCGAUUUUAAGAGCAUUCCGGAAAUAAAUGAUACACAGAAAGAAAGCAGAAGAAAUCGUUCUGAAGAGAUCCCCACUGGUGGAGUACCACAUUCCUGACUGCUCACCCCAUCACACAUCAGCAACCACCCGAAGAAGAUGAAGGCUUUCUCUGAGACACCUGAAACCAGGCAGCUGCAUCUUUUCAAACUUCUGCUCUUGUUGUAUCACACGGCAGCAUAACAACCUCGGAGCAAAGCACUAUCUGCCCCUUUCCCUAUACAUGACUUCACAGCCUAAAGAGAAUAAAUGCAUCCAAAAUCGGAUUCUUGUAUACUGCUCUGUGCCAGUUUAUAGUAUAAAUAGUGUGAUUAGUUUGUUCACACUGAAAAUUCCAACAAGAAGAAGUGCACUUCAUGAUGGAAGUGUGGAAUGUUGAACACUUCAUGCACUCAAUGCUCACAGCUUUGCUUGCAUAGUGGAAGAGGGGCGGGGCUACCAAGCACUGAUGCUGGAUGAGAACAAAUUUUCGAGAUGGCUGAGGACACUCUGGUGUACAAGACGUCUUACAAAUGCCUUUUAAAUUAGCUCACACUGUCUGAUUGAAUUUUCAACAAUAUUCUGUAUUCUGCUAAAGCUUAUAGUAUCACAUUAUGUGCAUUUGAUGUCACUGGCCAUUGACUGUGAAACAGCUUAGUAAAUAUGUUUGAGUGCUCCAUUUGAAAGUAUAUUUCCCUUUUAAAAUUUAGAAAACUAGACACAAGUGUAUAGUGUAAGUGCAUAGUCUAUCGUGUAGUCAGUUGGGACACAGCUUAUGGCAUCCCUCCCACCCAGACAGCUCAACCAUGGAGCCUGCUACUAGGCCUGUGGUAAGAUUUAAAUUUGUGCCAAGAAAAUGUACUUAGGCAAAAACUAAAUGUUUACUUACAGCUUCUUCACAUUUACAUUUACAGCAUUUGGCAGACGCCCCUAUCCAGAGUGACUUACAUUUAUCUCAUUUUUUUAUACAAUUGAGCAGUUAAAAAAUUAAGGGUUAAGCUCAGCGGCAGCUUGGUGGUCCUAAGGUUUGAACUCACAACCAUCCAACUGAUUAACCACCAUUAUUGGGGACAAUGGUGAUUACUGAUUGUUGGGGACAAUGGUGAUUAGUUAUUUUAGGGACAGUGGUGAUUAGCUAUUAUUGGGGACAAUGGUGAUUACUGAUUGUUGGGGACAAUGGUGAUUAGUUAUUUUAGGGACAGUGGUGAUUAGCUAUUAUUGGGGACAAUGGUAAUUAGUUAUUUUGGGGGGACAAUGGUGAUUAGCUAUUAUUGGGGACAAUGGUGAUUAGUUAUUAUUGGGGACAAUGGUGAUUAGCUAUUAUUGGGGACAAUGGUGAUUAGUUAUUAUUGGGGACAAUGGUGAUUAGCUAUUAUUGGGGACAAAGGUGAUUAGUUAUUUUUAGGGACAAUGGUGAUUAGUUAUUUUGGGGACAAAGGUGAUUAGUGAUUUUGGGGGACAAAGGUGAUUAGUGAUUGUUGGAGACAUUAGUGAUUAGUGAUUUUGGGGACAAUGGUGAUUAGUGAUUGUUGGGGACAAAUGUGUUUAGUUGUUGGGGACAAUGGUGAUUAGUGAUUAUUGGGGACAAAGGUGUUUAGUGAUUGUUUGGGACAAUGGUGAUUAGUUACUGUUGGGGCAAUGGUGAUUAGUUAUUGUUAGAGACAAUGGUAAUUAGAUGGUUUUAGGUUUAAUUGUGAUUAGUUAUUGUUAGAGACAAUUGUAAUUAGAUGGUUUUAGGUUUAAUUGUGAUUAGUUAGUAUUAGGGACAAUGGUGAUUAGCUAUUUUUAGGGACAAUGGUGAUUAGUCAUUUUUGGGGACAAUGGUGAUUAGUUAUUCUUAGGGAGAAUGGUGAUUAUUUAUUAUUGGAGACAAUGGUGAUUAGCUAUUAUUGGGAACAAUGGUGAUUAGUUAUUUUAGGAACAAUGGUGAUUAGCUAUUAUUGGGAACAAUGGUGAUUAGUUAUUUUGGGGGGGACAAUGGUGAUUAGCUAUUAUUGGGGACAAUUGUGAUUAGUUAUUAUUGGGGACAAUGGUGAUUAGCUAUUAUUUGGGACAAUGGUGAUUAGCUAUUAUUGGGGACAAUGGUGAUUAGUUAUUAUUGGCGACAAUGGUGAUUAGCUAUUAUUGGGGACAAAUGUGAUUAGUUAUUUUUAGGGACAAAGGUGAUUAGUUAUUGUUGGGGACAAUGGUGAUUAGUGAUUGUUGGGGACAAUGGUCAUUAGUGAUUGUUGGGGACAGGGGUGAUCAGUGAUUGUUGGGGACAGGGGUGAUUAGUGAUUUAUUCACAUUGUAUUUGAACUGUAUUUUAUAUUUUAAGAAAGAUUUAGAAUAUGGAGAUAUUUUUAUUUGUAUAUUGAAGCUGAAACAAGACAGAACUCAGAAUCUAUUUUUUCCUCACCUACUAUGUAAUCAGAUCAUGAUGCCAAAUUUAUUCACACAUGCUAUGGAGGAAAUUAUAAAUAUUUACCGUGUGCAUGCAAAAACCCAAGGUGUACCAAGUGGUUUUGACAAUCAUUUCGACGAUGUAUAUUUGGUUUUUCCGUGAAUGAAGUGUAUUUUUGCAUCUCGCUGAAUUUUCUGAACAUUUUUUGAUUUGUUUAUCUGCUACACAGUGGGUUUAGAUCCAGCCCCAAGGUAAGAAACUGGGAGCUCUGGUGUGAUACAACUGGAAAUACAUGACAUACUCAAAUACCUCAAAGAAUAUUACACUGGGACAAUUUUCAGACGGGUAAAGGCACUAAGUUGAACGAGUUUCCAAUGAGAUUUUCUUUCCCCCGUUCUAUCUUAAUAUGGAGCAACCGUUGUGCAAGGAGAGAGAGAGAGAGAGAGAGAGAGGGAGGAAGGAAAAAAAGGCUUUCAGACAUGUCUCGCAGCCAUAUAGAUGGGUUCAGCAUAUAAAAGUUAACAUAGCAUAUAAUUCCACCACUCCCCUCUCCUCUCCUUCCCUGCGGGUGUGUGGAGAAAAUAAGCAUAUUAUCAAAUUCAGCAUAAUUUCAUGUAUGCGUGAAAUGGCCACCUCUUCUGGGAACACGGGGCCUAAUGAUGAGUGGCAGCCUUUUUGGCUUCUGUGGCACGGACGAGGACCCAACCAAAGGAGCACGACACACACCAGCCCCAGAUGCUACUAACAU